rnacentral:rRNA from 1 species
AUUGAACGCUGGCGGCAGGCUUAACACAUGCAAGUCGAGCGGAGAGAGGUAGCUUGCUACUGAUCUUAGCGGCGGACGGGUGAGUAAUGCUUAGGAAUCUGCCUAUUAGUGGGGGACAACAUUUCGAAAGGAAUGCUAAUACCGCAUACGUCCUACGGGAGAAAGCAGGGGAUCUUCGGACCUUGCGCUAAUAGAUGAGCCUAAGUCGGAUUAGCUAGCUGGUGGGGUAAAGGCCUACCAAGGCGACGAUCUGUAGCGGGUCUGAGAGGAUGAUCCGCCACACUGGGACUGAGACACGGCCCAGACUCCUACGGGAGGCAGCAGUGGGGAAUAUUGGACAACGGGCGCAAGCCUGAUCCAGCCAUGCCGCGUGUGUGAAGAAGGCCUUAUGGUUGUAAAGCACUUUAAGCGAGGAGGAGGCUACUUUAGUUAAUACCUAGAGAUAGUGGACGUUACUCGCAGAAUAAGCACCGGCUAACUCUGUGCCAGCCGCCGCCGUAACAC